UUUUCUAGAUAAGGAUAGAUUAUGAGAACAGCCACUUGUGCUCCAGACAGUUGUUUCUCAUGAAGAGAUUGCAGGAACUGAGGUUUUUGUGGUUAACUCAUGAGUUAUAUAGCUGGGAGUCAAUCAAACUCACAGUUGUAAUGCAGCCUAUAUGGACACAAGGUUUGCAAAAGCCUCAUUUUCUUAAACAUUCUGAGUAUAAUUAAUGUAUAGCUAAAGAGACUUUUUCUGAGCAGCAAGAUAAGGGAAAUUCCCUUGGUGUAUUAAUAUUUUUUUUUGGAUUAAAAAGCGGGAAAAAAGGUUUCCGAGAUUUAAAAAAAAGUUAGCAAAAAGUUUAACAAGGAUUAGAUAUAAGAAAGUUUAAAUCAGAUAAAGGAAAUAGCAAUUUUGAAAGACUACUUUUUGAUGUAAGUGCUGUUGAACAAAUUGGAGUUAAAACAAAUGGAUUGGACCUUCAUGGGAAAUUUUUUGCUUAGAGUUAAAGAAUGCAGACAAUUGGUGGAUUUUACAAAAUAAAAGAUAAAGGUAAUAUGAACCUGACUCUACACUACUGUACAGAGUACCAUUUGAGCUGGAAGUAUUAAGAGUACAGAAAGACAAAACAGAAACGAAAAGAAAGCUUGUCUGUUGCUCAUUCUCUCACAAGUGAAACAUUUUUACUUUUGGAUUAUAAUAUUACAAUGGCAACCGUGAGAAAACUGGCAGAAAUAGCAGAGGGGAAGAUUAUUGCAGCAACUUGCAGAAAGAAAAAAAGAAAAAGAAAAAGAAAGAAAAAAAGAUAUAAAGAAGAGGUUUCCAAUCUCCUUUACAGCAGCUACAACCAUGCUUUAAUGCUGCUGAAAUACUCACCCUUCUGGGAAUCAACAUUCUGCUUCAGGAUGAGAAACUGCAUUAAUCAAUUAUUCCUAUGGGGCCAUAUACUCUACAAUGUUCCUGCCAUGAAUGAACUGUGAAUGAUCAUCAGCAAUCUGUUCCUUCUGAAACUGAUUACCCAAGAAAGGAAUAAUACUCCCUAGGAAAGUUGCAGGACUGGAGCUGGAUCAUACACUUAUCAAUAUGUAGUGCGAUGUUUCUAAUCACAGAACAGAAACAAACAAACAAACAACACACAAAAAAAACCCCAAACAAACCCAAAAAAGAUGGAAAUAUGCACUUGGCAAACCAUUCUGAGGCAAAGACAAAUGCUCUGAGAUAGGUAAAUGGCCACACACGUCUGCCCCGCUUGGUUGGCCCAUCACUAAAACAAACCAGUAACCAAGAAUGGAUGAAGUCACACUAUGCUCUGUACUCUCCCUUCAGGACUGGGAUGUGUUUUUCAAUUGUGAUUUUUAAAAUACUUCUCUUUACACUCCUUGUGCACUCCUGUCCCCAGUGCACUUCAUUUCAUUGUAUUCUACUCUGAUGCCUUAAACAUUAUUUUACAAAUACCGUACCAUCUACUUCAUAGAGAAAAUGGGAGGUAGCAUACCUUGCAAGAGAUAACAAGGAUUUCCUGAGGGAAUGAUCAGUUUGGUGAUGACAUAGGCUACCUAAGAAAUAGAUGGAUUCUUCUUGUUGGAGAUUUUCAGAUCAAAGUUGAAUGGCAACCAAUCAGGAGUGCUCUACUAUUCAAUUUCCAUGUCAGUAGAAGACCAAUUUAGAGGACCUUAGAAGACCCUUCUAUUCCAUGACUUUUUCCCCCUCCCAGAUAUGCUAAGCUCCACUGGCAGUGGUGGGAUUCAAAUACGUGAGCAACCAGGUCUCUGUGUGGAUACCGCUUCCAGAAGUCCAUUCUGGGCCUGGGCAACAAAAAAUUAGCUACCUGUUCUGCCAAAGUGGUGCAAACUGGCUGAAUCUCACCACUGUCCACUGGCUAUUUUCAAGCUUACCCUUUUAAGAAAUAAAUAAAUAAAAGAGGGGCACAAAGAUGACAUGAGUUACAAGACAAUUCCAGCCUUUUCCAAAGUAGAUUAGAGCUGGAAACAUCACAAGGCUGAGGCUGUCAGUUUUCAGAAUAGAUUGUGUCUUUCAAAAUCACCUCUGAAUCACUGAGUGGAUUAUCGUGAACAAAAGCCACUGCAGACCUAGACUAUCUAUUUUUACAAAGCAGAAUAUUUGUGUGGAGUAAUGGCUAUUGGGGGGAUAGAAGUCAAGAAACCUUCAGCUCAAUAUAUGAAUUAUCAUUUUCCAGAAAUAUUUAUUGAAAUGACAUGUUAUAUUAUGCUAUUUCUCAGAGAAAUAGCUGACUGUUUUGCUCAAAUGGAUUCAUCCUUUCUUCCUGGUCAAGUAAAGAUGAAAUAAAAUAGCUAGGUAUCUGUUCUUGCAGGGAAAAUGUUGAUAACUUCACAAUAUAAUAACUUGAAAAAUGUAAGGUUGUGAAAGCUUAUGAGAUGAGAGAUAUAAGACAUGUCGUAUUUUGCAAAGAAAUGAAAUGACUAUAGAAUAUAGAAAUAUAUUCUGAAAUAUUGUUCCUAGUUAUAGCAAGCCAAUGGGAUAUCUCAACUAGUAGUAAUUUAGUUCAUUUGGUUUAUAUACUGAGUUGCUAUGUGUCUUUUCAGAUAGUUAAUUUACAAAGUGAAUCCCAAUACUAAAAAAUGAAAAAUAAUCUAUUGAAAGUGAAAAAGCAAAAGAAAAAUGUGAAAACAAAAAUAAUUCACCAAU